GGUUUAGAGCGCACAGUAGCAUGGAUUUCUGGUGUUGAACACGUUCGUGAAACUGCGCCAUUCCCAAGAUUAUUAAACCGUUUAUAUCCAUAAGUUUUAGGAUCGUUACUUAAAAUUUAUAUUAUAAAAAGAAUCGUCCAGCCUAUAUUAAUAGCUGGGCGAUUUAUGCUUGGAAAAUGAAGAUUGAUAACGGCUUAUAUUAAUCAUGAACAAACUUUUGUUUAGUAACUAUAUUUGGAAAA
rnacentral:sRNA from 1 species